CCUUGCAGUGUUCGAUGUGUAUUCUUUGAAAUCGUCGUCUCAAGCGAACUUGACUAUUUUAAUCGUCAUUAAGCGGUUAUUACCAUGUCCAUCUUAAUUAGUAUCCAGUGAUGUCAUAUGAUUGACGAGUUUCUUAAACCUUCCAGCUUGAUUCGCAACAGUUGUUUACUAGUGUCUGCUUCACCAGCACUAAAAUGAAAACAGCAACAUACUUCCUCAUGUCGUGCGUGUUUUCUCUGUGUCUGUCAGACGAAACAUGUAAAUGUUGGGAGGGUUUCACUCCGCAAAACCAAACAUUCUGCAGGGCAAUAGAAAAAGGGAACAGAGUUUACACAAUUAUACCGUGCGGUUUGGAAGAACCUCCUACAUGCAAAUGUCAAGAAUCGACUGGGAAAGAAGUGACUUUACCGUUUGGCGAGUUGAACUGUGUAGGAAAAACUGCAUAUGAAAGAGUGCGUUGCGAACCAGAAAUAGAGUGGAAUGACUGGUUUGACAAGCAUCCAGAAUUUGUAUUGAACAAUUAAAUUAAAUGUAUAGCAAUUUGUAUAAAUUGAUUCUAAUUGUGUGUUAAUUUAUGAUUAUUGAUGUAUAAUUGUACAGUAAUUAAACGGACUUGGUCAAUUAUCCGGUUGAUUUUUAUUUUAUAUUUAUGUUCGAUAAAUGCUGUUUCUUAGAAUUAAUCGGAAUAAGUGUAUUUAUUAAAACAUGUGUCAUACAGUUUUAAUUUAAUUGCUCUCAUCCUAGUUAAAACAAUAAAUAAUGUUAAAUAAAAAGAGUUUU